UGGGGGCCCAAGGCCAAGCCGAGCGUGAUCCACUCCAGGUCCAGGUCAGGCAGCAGGCAUCAGUCCUUGCCAUCAGCAAGGUCUGGGCUCAGCAAGCCUCCCGCAUCCCUGCCUCGUGCCUGGAUGGGGACUUCCCCGCCUGGCCCCUUGGUGACCGGUGACGACGUGGAGAAGAAGGUCCGCAUGAACGAGGACGGCAGCCUGUCCGUGGAGAUGAGAGUCCGCCUCCACCUCCCGGGCGAGGAGGCGAUGCUGUGGUCCCAGAGGGUGGGGCAGGCCAGCAGGGAGGGCCCCGGCCUGCAGGAGGUAGACCCUGACUGCUGCAGAUGGGAGGGCCACCGUUGGGACAGCCUGGAGUCUGGGGCCAGGGGACCAGGUCUGUGCGAGGCAGGGUGCCAGCGAGCCUUCGAUGGAAGCCUGCGGCCCUGGCCCAGCUGUGAGAUCUGGAGAAACCCCCUGUGUGUUCCCCAGGGUGAGAAGCCUGCACCUCAGAGGAGGUCAGCUUGGGGCCAGGGCAGGAAGAGGUGUGGCAAGGAGCGCCGCAGCCCGGCUUCCAGUGCUGAGCGCCCGGAAGGCUCGGACCCAGACUCCUGCAGCCCCAGAACCCCAGAGGGCUGCGCAGGCAGUGACAGCCCGUGUCUGGCCUCUGAGGCUACUUCCCCGAGCUGGGCUGAACAAAAAGCUGGGGAGGCCCAGUCCCCGGAGGGAGGGCAGCCAGCUGGCUGCGAGCCACAGAGCUACCAGGCACCUGGGACCCGAGGUGUGGAAGGGGCCCUUUCUGAUUCUUUGGCCAGUGCCAAGUCUCAUGAGGAGUCUGGCAAGUGGGGAGGUCAGCAGUGGGGCUGCCCGGGCCAGGAGAGGAGCAGGACCUCCCAGAGGAAGGCCACCCAAGGUGACAGCCCUUGUCUCUCAUCUCCGAACAAUGAGGAGCUACCGACAGAGAAACGUAGACAGGGCUCUGGGUGCCACGAGGCCAUGGAUGGGCCUGUGACAACGCCGCCCUUGGCUCUGGGAUCAUCUGGCUCCUGGGACACAGGGGGAAUCUCCCUCCCACUUUCCGCCUGUGCCCCAGCCCUACAGGGGAGGAGAAGGUGGCAGAGUCCAGGAAGUACCACAGCCUCUCCCAGCACUCUCAAUCCCCACCAGGUAGCCCAGAGAGGCCAUGCCAGGCUGUGUCCCCACUGCAAGGACACUCACUGCCCCACAGACUUCCCGGAAGCCCAGCUAGCACCAAGGCCUCCGGACAGAGGAGACACCUGCCCACGGGGCCCAGUGCCACGAUGUUCUCCCAAGUCGUCCAGCACCAGCAGACAGGCCUCGGGGAACGCGAGGUCACUCUACACCGGCUCCCUUGACCCCAAGGAUUCAGCAGCAGCCAGCCGGGUUGCCACCCCCCCUACAGAUGACUCUGAUAUCCAGAUUCAUGAAAAAGGAAGUCAGUUCUGCAAGAGCGGGGUUUGGUUCCUGGUUGUUUAAAAUCACCCACCUCAAGCAGAUUGGCUGGAUGCUGGCUGCAGUGGUCAUGUCACAGAUGGAAGAGUUAUUCUUAAUAAAAUUUCACAUUUUUAAAUAUCUAUGGAGGCGAUGCUUUCAGGUGUUUACAAUAAAGACAGGUUAU
rnacentral:lncRNA from 1 species